ensembl:lncRNA
GUGGGGAAAGAAUGCUAGUGGGGGGAACAGGAUGUCCCGUUUCAAAUCCCCCACGGCCUUCGCCUCAGCACAGCUAGGAGGACAAUCCCCUUGUGUAAAGGCCUGGGAACGGAGCUUUCUUCCUAUCAGAUCCUGCCCUAUUCUGGUAAUUGAAUGGGAAAGGAGUCCACCCAGAAGUCUGGGCUGGCCCUGGAAAGGAAGGGGCUGUUUCCCACUCACCACCACACUGAUUUUGGAUACAGCAAGGGAGGAGUCAUGAGGAAAUUUAAAACAGCAACAGAGACAUGGGAAUUAUAAGGAAAAGAACACAGAACACUACUAGCACAUGCUGGUGUCUGACCCGCGUAAAUCAUCUAUCAAAUGGGAACAUUUCCAUCUUGUGUACCGUAUGGUGAUAGAAAUUUGUGCUAAGGAUUGCACGCAGGGCUUUGUGCAGGCUAGUGGCCAUCAAAGGAUCAGAAAGAUUUCACAUGAGCCCUGACUCG